CCCAGACUCCUACGGGAGGCAGCAGUGGGGAAUAUUGGGCAAUGGACGCAAGUCUGACCCAGCAACGCCGCGUGAAGGAAGAAGGCUUUCGGGUUGUAAACUUCUUUUAAGGGGGAAGAGCAGAAGACGGUACCCCUUGAAUAAGCCACGGCUAACUACGUGCCAGCAGCCGCGGUAAUACGUAGGUGGCAAGCGUUAUCCGGAUUUACAGGGUGUAAAGGGCGUGUAGGCGGGGACGCAAGUCAGAUGUGAAAACCACGGGCUCAACCUGUGGCCUGCAUUUGAAACUGUGUUUCUUGAGUACUGGAGAGGCAGACGGAAUUCCUAGUGUAGCGGUGAAAUGCGUAGAUAUUAGGAGGAACACCAGUGGCGAAGGCGGCUUACUGGACUGUAACUGACGUUGAGGCUCGAAAGCGUGGGGAGCAAACAGGAUUAGAUACCCCCGUAC
rnacentral:rRNA from 1 species